rnacentral:misc_RNA from 1 species
AAUGAAUUUCAAUUCUAGAAUUAUGUCAAACAUGAAUUAUAUGGAAUUUAAUUGAAUUCUGUAUUUUAAGUUGUCAUGCAAAACAGUGUAAUGCAUUUGAAAUGAAUUCUAGCUGGAUUUAAUUUCAAUUGAAUUCCAAAGUUUGUUUAGAAUUGAACCAAACACUUGGUUAGUGAAUUUUUUUUUUUAAUCCUGUAUUUGUUAUUUAUUUUUUGGGAUUGUUAAUUUUAUUAUUGACACUUGCUUUUUCUAUCAUAUGUGAUAGUAUUAGGUAAGCAUGCAUCAUUUUAUUGGAUCUGAUAAAACAUUGUUGAAGGAAAGAUAACUAUAAUGACUAAUAAGGAGAAUAAGGGGCUGUGAUUGUAUGUGAAAGUAAUAGAAUAAUUAGGGUGGUCUGUGGUAGUUAGUUGAAGAACUGAAAGUUGUUAAAAGGUUGUAAUUGGUGGAAACAGUUAUGGGAAGGGCUGAUCGCUUAUAAAUAGUAGCUAUUGUAACUGAAGAAGAUUAUUUUGGAAAAAUAUCAAGAAACUAUUCAAUUUCUCUCUCAUUCUCUCUAUUCUCUUAUCCCUAAAACUCUAUUUCUAUUAUUUCUUCUGCUUGAGAUCCUGUUAUUGGGGAUUUUGCUACAUAACAAUAACAUUUGAAAAUAAUUUAAAAUUGAUAUACCUAUAAUAUAAUGUUAAUGAUGGCAGUACCUGUGGAUAUGUAAUUAUCAAUAUUGAAGCAGUAUUUAAAAUAAAAGAAGAAAAUGAAAAAGUGGAAAAUUUAAAUAGAAAGCAUCAUUUUUUAUGGGCAAGGUUAUAUGCUAGUGAGAGUGAAUAUUGAUUGCUUUUGAUAUGGACUUUUAGUUGAAUUUUGCCAUAUGAUUGUCUUAAGAUUUCUCAUGCUUCAUGAACUGCUUUGUCAUCUCUUCGUAUUGCAAAAACUUGAAGCUAUGGGCAGCCUUUUUUGAAUGAUGGAUGCAAAUUCUGGAGUUGAUGCCCUGCUUGUUCAUUCUAUCUUGUCCAGGUUUGUUGUUUUUAUUCCUGAACAUUCUCAGUUAGAAUCAUCCAUUUAGAGAUAAUGACUCUCCUGUCUGUCUACUGUUCAUUAUUUUUGCCCCUAGGGGUGUACCCUUGAUGCUAUAUCAGUUAUUAGUUGUGAUUUGUGCUUUUGGAAAAUGGCCCGUAGGACUUCCUAUUUCUUAAAAUUAGUGGAAUGCAAAACCUCGCAUGAAGAAAACUAAGUUGUGCGUUACAGUUAUGGUAGAAUUUUAUUUUAAUGGCCCUUAUCAAGGACGUGUUGCUAAAUAUUUAAUUGAUAUGGUCCUCGAGCAUUUAUCUUAAGUGGUAUAUGUUUUAGGUUGAAAUCUUACUGGUCAAAUAGAGAAGAGUUUGACGAGCUAGAUAAAGUACAAUACAAUGUUAGUGGGAACAUAUAGUCAUGCUUUCAUCUAUAAGAGAGAUGAACAUCUAUGGAUUGUUAAUGAAGUUUGUUCAUUCGUCUUAAUUAUAUAUAUAAAUCUAGUCAGCAGGUUCUGUAUUGAGCAUGAUUUAGCGAUAAAGGACUGUAGCCAAAUCAUGCAUUUUCUAUAUAUGACAAAUAAAGGGCUGAAAUAAUGUGUGGUUGAUGGCCUGGGAAUAGAAUAUGCCUUCCAUCAAAUAAUGGUUUGCCACAAUUCUUUAGGGACAAGAGAAGUUUAGGAUGCGAGGCACAAGAAGCAAGAAGGGAAGUACGUGCAUACAUACAAUCAUUACUUUUAUUAGGCGUGUUGGGUCACCUAAUCGUAACACUUAACAUGUUUAGUAUAAUUUAGGAUAAAUCACCAAAACCCACAUGAAAUUUUGCAUAAUGUACACUUUUAUCUCUAUUUUUUUAAAAUUUAAUUACUUCAGUUCUUAAGUUUUGUUAAUGGCUUUAAAACUUAGUCCUUGAUUACAAUCCUAAAAUAAGCAUUACGCUUUAGUCUUCCGUAUUUUAAUUUGAGAUUAUGCCGUGCACCAUCGUCUUGUUCUGUCUAGUUUAGUUUAAUUUUUAUUUGUGUAUUUUUUAUUUACUCGUCUCCUGUUCAAAUCCCAUUGAUUAAUGUUUAAGACUAUUGAGCAAGCUAAGAGGUUAUGAGAAAUUUUCAGAACAUUAAUUUUCCUUUUUUUAAUAAAAGAAAAAAAUUAUAACCAAAAAAAUACCAAUAAAUGUAGUCACUAGAAUAUUCUCUAAAACAGUUGCAUUUAAUCCAUAGUACAUGUCAAAAUUGUAAACAACCCUUGUGGCCUAAUUAAUUAGUCAUUUAACUAAUAUAGAUAUAAAUUCCUAUUGGUAGUGUCUUACUAGAAAAUUUCUCCAUUGUCUUCAUGUGUUCCUAGUAGUAAAUAUACUAGUAUAAUAUAUUUCACCUUUUCUCUUUUUUAUCGCAGGUUAAAAGAUUUUAUACCUUUUAAUUAAUAUUUGUUAGGAAAAAAAAAUCUUAUGAUACAGUUUUUAGGUAAUUUGGAAAAAAUUUAAUCAAAUUAUAAAUUGAAUGUAAAAAUAUUCUUGUUUCAUAAAUAAAUACUUUAAUA